rnacentral:rRNA from 1 species
AACGAACGCUGGCGGCAGGCCUAAAACAUGCAAGUCGAACGCCCUAGCAAUAGGGAGUGGCGCACGGGUGAGUAACGCGUGGGAACGUGCCCUUCAGUACGGGACAACGUCGGGAAACUGACGCUAAUACCGUAUAAUAUCUCCGGAUCAAAGAUUUAUCGCUGAGGGAGCGGCCCGCGUCUGAUUAGCUAGUUGGUGAGGUAAUGGCUCACCAAGGCUACGAUCAGUAGCAGGUCUGAGAAGAUGAUCUGCCACACUGGGACUGAGACACGGCCCAGACUCCUACGGGAGGCAGCAGUUAGGAAUAUUGGACAAUGGGCGAAAGCCUGAUCCAGCCAUGCCGCGUGUGUGAUGAAGGCCUUAGGGUUGUAAAGCACUUUCGUUGGGGAUGAUAAUGACCGUACCCAAAGAAGAAGCCACGGCUAAAUUCGUGCCAGCAGCCGCCGUAAAAC